UACGGGGGGUGCAAGCGUUGCUCGGAAUCACUGGGCGUAAAGCGUACGCAGGCGGCACGUUAAGUCGGGUGUGAAAGCCCGGGGCUCAACCCCGGAAUUGCAUUCGAUACUGGCGCGCUUGAAUACGGAAGAGGGGAGCGGAAUUCCUGGUGUAGAGGUGAAAUGCGCAGAUAUCAGGAGGAACACCGGUGGCGAAGGCGGGUCUCUGGGCCGAUACUGACGCUGAGGAGCGAAAGCGUGGGGAGCGAACAGG
rnacentral:rRNA from 1 species